GACGAAGGAUGCAAGCGUUAUCCGGAUUCAUUGGGUUUAAAGGGAGCGUAGGUGGCCUUAUAAGUCAGUGGUGAAAUCUCUGGGCUUAACCCAGAAAUUGCCAUUGAUACUGUAGGGCUUGAGUAUAGUUCCGUUGGCGGAAUAUGACAUGUAGUGGUGAAAUACAUAGAGAUGUCAUAGAACACCGAUUGCGAAGGCAGCUAACGAAAACUAUAACUGACACUGAGGCUCGAAAGUGCGGGGAUCAAACAGG
rnacentral:rRNA from 1 species